rnacentral:rRNA from 1 species
GACGAACGCUGGCGGCGUGCUUAACACAUGCAAGUCGAGCGGUAAGGCCCUUCGGGGUACACGAGCGGCGAACGGGUGAGUAACACGUGAGUAAUCUGCCCAUCACUUCGGGAUAACUCCGGGAAACCGGUGCUAAUACCGAAUAUGACCACUUCAGGCAUCUGAUGGUGGUGGAAAGUUCCGGCGGUGAUGGAUGAGCUCGCGGCCUAUCAGCUUGUUGGUGGGGUAGUGGCCUACCAAGGCUUCGACGGGUAGCCGGCCUGAGAGGGUGACCGGCCACACUGGGACUGAGACACGGACCAGACUCCUACGGGAGGCAGCAGUGGGGAAUAUUGGACAAUGGGCGAAAGCCUGAUCCAGCAACGCCGCGUGAGGGAUGACGGCCUUCGGGUUGUAAACCUCUUUCAGCAGGGACGAAGCGCAAGUGACGGUACCUGCAGAAGAAGCACCGGCCAACUACGUG